rnacentral:rRNA from 1 species
UACGUAGGUGGCAAGCGUUGUCCGGAUUUACUGGGCGUAAAGAGCGCGCAGGCGGUCGAUCAAGUCGCGUGUGAAAGCCCCCGGCUCAACUGAGGAGGGUCACGCGAUACUGAUCGACUCGAAGGCAGGAGAGGGUAGUGGAAUUCCCGGUGUAGUGGUGAAAUGCGUAGAUAUCGGGAGGAACACCAGUGGCGAAGGCGACUACCUGGCCUGUUUCUUGACGCUGAGGCGCGAAAGCUAGGGGAGCAAACGGG